AUAAAUCUCUUGUGGUACAGAGAGUAUCAUUUCAGCAUUCAGCACACAGAUGAGAUUGUGGUUCUCAUGUGCACACCCCACCAAUUGUUAGGCUUGUCACUCUCACACAGUCAGCAGUUGAAAUUGUGACUAUCAUAUGUGAACAUCCAGCCAGAGUUGGAAUGACGACUUAUUUCUAAAGCCAGUUCAUUGGCAGAUGAGAAUUCUGUCUGACCCCAUGAAAAUUCUACCUGGGCUUAGUGCCAGAGUAAACAGAGUUUACAGGAGGAAUGAAGGCUCUCAGGCUCCCAUCCAGUUCAUUGGUGAGAUUGUCACUACCAUACUUAGACCCAACAUAGGAAAUGUGGUGACUCUCAUACCUAGAACUGGGACCUGUGUGGGGUUGUUAAUUCAUUACUGGACCUUCCUGUGGGUGUGAUUGUUACAUAUGCCUAUGUUCAGCACCUGUGUGAUUUGAUUUUGCUGCCUGGUCUCAGUCCAAAGGCUCCACAUAUUUGGGUAUUGUGAUGUAUUGCUGAACUCAACACCUAAGGGAUGGGAGUCUCCUACAUAGGCCCUUCCUACAAGGGGCAUUGUGACAUGUCUCUGCAUUCCUCAUCCAGGAGAUGUGACUCUUCUCUUCUGCCUACACCUGCCUAUACAGAAAGUUGUGGCAUAUUGCUGUGGUCAGCAACCAGAUGAUGUGUUUCUUCUGCCUGGGUCUUUAUUACAGGAAAGAUGGUUGACACAUUACUGGGCCCAGCAUCCAGAGGAUG